rnacentral:tRNA from 1 species
GGGACUGUAGCUCAGUGGUAGAGCGCUUGCCCCGCAGGCAUGAGGCCCUGAGUUCGAUCCUCAGCACCA